AGAGAGAGACAUGCGCGCAUAUCAAUAAGCGGAGGAAAAGAAACUAACAAGGAUUCCCUUAGUAACGGCGAGUGAAGCGGGAAGAGCUCAAAUUUGAAAUCUUCAAGGUUUUACCUUGACGAAUUGUAGUUUAAAGAAGUGUUUUCUGCUGAAGUUUUGGUAAAAGUUCUUUGGAAUAGGACAUCAUAGAGGGUGAGAAUCCCGUAUUUGACCAUUAUUUUCAGCUUUGUGAUACACUUUCAAAGAGUCGGAUUGUUUGGGAAUGCAGUCCAAAAUGGGUGGUAAACUUUCAUCUAAAGCUAAGUAUUGGCGAGAGACCGAUAGCGAACAAGUACCGUGAGGGAAAGAUGAAAAGAACUUUGAAAAGAGAGUUAAACAGUACGUGAAAUUGUCAAAAGGGAAGCGUUUGACACCAGUGUUGUUUUCUCGAAAAUCAAUUAAAAAUGGCUCGAUUUUGUAUUGCUUGAGACCUUAAAAGCUCACUGUACAUUUUUCGUGUCUUUUUUAAUGCACUUUUCGUUUAACAAGUCAACAUCAGUUUCUUUUGUUGUAAAAGGGUCAUUGGAAGGUGGCUUUCUUUUCGGAGAAAGUGUUUAUAGCCUUUGGCCUCUGCAAUCGGAGAGACUGAGGUCUGCAGCGUAGACUCUUCGGGGUUAGAUACAUUUGUGCUAAGUUAUAGCUUUUUAUAGACAACUUGUUGACUAUAAUUAGUCUUGUAGCUUACUCGCUUAUGCUAUUUUACCUACGCUUAGGAUGUUGAGUCGUAGAGCACGCAG
rnacentral:rRNA from 1 species